GAUGACUUCCAAAAUUGAAAUUAUUUACAAAACCUUCAAUUUGCAAUCUGGCUUCACAUGUGCGAAGGAUUAGACGAUGGAUGGUGGGGAGGACGAUGGAGUUUAAAAAUUUCCAGAAAAGGGCGAAGGACCCUCACCUAAUUUGAGGUCUGGCUUCACUUGUGCAAGGAUGAGAUGAGUAGCCAGAUUCGCACCUAGUUUGCCAAGGUUUACCACAUCCGAACACUAUUUGUUACUUCUUAUUUGCAUCUGUUGUAUUCUUAUGCAGGCUGCAGCAGCAGCAAGUUCACAGACUCGAAAACCAAAUGAAACAAAUGAAGAUGACUGGGUCCAACGGCCUGUUCCCUUCUUUCUGUACUGUUAUUGUGGUAUCUGGUGGGAGGUUGUCGACGGCCUCUUCCGCAGUCUGGUUCUCCAAACACUCAUGAGAUCGAAACUGGAGGGAAAGUGGAAGACAAGGAAAAGUUUCCUGCUGGUUCCUGCAAGGACGAGAGGGGGCAAAGGGGAAGUCCACUAGUCAGGAGUCCCAGGCUCCGACGAAGUCGAAAGAGGCUUUCAGGAUCUUCACAUUGCGUCGCAGUCGCCCGCAGAGAAAAACUCGAUGGUUCCAACGAGGUUGAAAUGGGGGAAGGGGAAGAUGGGGAGGUCUGCCAUCAGCUGAUAUUCAGAAUAUUGCUGAGCCUUUGGAGAACAGUUGGAAAGAGACGCACAUACAAAAACCCUCAUUCCUAGGGCAUGCUCGCUGAUUUCUUGACGUCCUCUUAAAUUUUGCUCCCAAGCCUGUCGUGGAGAUCAGAUUGGGAGAAAGCCAGGUCUCUCUAUAAGAGAUUAUCUAGGAAAAUUGUAAGUAUUGCUCUGUCUGCAAGGUUACCACCAACAUGACCCGUCAAUGCAGGUUUUUGCAAGCAGAGAUGAAAGGCCUGGAUAUGGAGGAACCCAAAAAGGUCAGUUGGUCAGAUGUAAAAUUUUCAAAAUGUAAUAGGAAAGAAGGGCCUGGCCAUGGUGUUGUCAAUUCUAAUAAUGGAAAUCGUGUACAAGGGAAGAGUUUACUUGAAGAAGGUUUGUACGCCUAUUCAAUCUACUGAUUCAAGCGUUAAACCUCUUGGUUUGAGUACACCAUCAUCUCCUUUAAUGAAAAGACCCAUUUGACAAUUGUUGAUCAACAUGAAAGGGAAGCGAUGGAGAUGGUGAUUACAGAUGCAGUUGAUUCAGACCUGAUUGAGACAAAAAGGGCAUCCAUGGAAGAUGCUGAACCAGGUAUACCGGUUAUUCAGGGAACUCCAUCCCCUGUUCUUGAUUCUUCUCUACCUUUUCUUGUAACCUAUCGUAUGCAAGUAGUCAAUGCAAAGUGAUGCUAAAGACAAUCAGAUCUCAUGGGCUGGCGGGUCCUCUUCUCUUGCCCCAGGUUUCAAAGGUCUGGAAAUCCAUCUUCAAACUCUAAAUAAUGGUAUUAGAAGAUAUGUGUGAAAUAUGUGUGAUGAGGCUGAAGACCCUCGCUGACAUGCCUGCUCUCAAGUCAUUGAAGGUACAUGGAUCUAAUAAGUUGAAGACUUUCUACUUGUGAUGACCAACAACGUGAAUUCAUUCUGUCACGAAUCAAGGUGCACUUGAAUGCUCUGAAGCGAUAUACUUAUGGAAAGCACAUUGUUGCUCGUGUGGAGAAGCUCAUAGCUAAUGGAGAGAGGCGCAUGGGGGCAUCUACUUCCUAAGCACCUUGAAAACAGAGGAUGAGGAGACCUUGUACAGCUAACAUGGCUGGCGUAAUUGGAAACCAGUCCAUGUUUGUUUUGUUCUCCUUCCCAUCUUCAUUUGUCUUUUUGGUAGAUUGAAAAUGAGAGGCAAUAGAUGCAGAGGUUAAUUGUAUAAAUGGUAGGCCAGCUUAAUAAUCUUCCUGUUGUGUAUAUCUUGUAAUCCCUUAACUGUAAUUCAAGUAAAUGGCUGUGGUGAUGCCGAUUCUUAGGA